UAUAACAUACAAUAUAAACGGCAAUUUC
rnacentral:guide_RNA from 1 species